rnacentral:rRNA from 1 species
UUAUCUGGAGGGUUUGAUCCUGGCUCAGGAUGAACGCUGGCGGCGUGCUUAACACAUGCAAGUCGAACGAGAAUCUUUCUGAAUGAAGCUUCGGCCGAGUUUAGAGAGAGGACAGUGGCAAACGGGUGAGUAUAACACAGAUAACCUCCCCUUUGGCGAGGGACAACCCACCGAAAGGUGGGCUAAUACCUCAUGGUAAUAAGUUCUUACGAAGAGAAUUUAUUUAAAGGCUUCGGCCACCAAAGGUUGGGUCUGUGACCUAUCAGCUUGUUGGUGAGGUAAUGGCUCACCAAGGCUAAGACGGGUAGCCGGGCUAAAAGGUUGGCCGGCCACACUGGAACUGCGACACGGUCCAGACUCCUACGGGAGGCAGCAGUGGGGAAUAUUGCACAAUGGAGGAAACUCUGAUGCAGCGACGCCGCGUGAAGGAUGAAGGCUUUCGAGUCGUAAACUUCUUUUAAGGAAAAGAAAGUCCGCCGCAAGGCGGAUUGAUCUAUCCUAGAAUAAGCAGUGGCUAAUUACGUGCCAGCAGCCGCGGUAAUACGUAAACUGCAAGCGUUAUCCGGAAUUAUUAGGCGUAAAGGGAGCGUAGGCGUUUUGUCAAGUUCCUGGUGAAAUCUUCGGGCUUAACCCGAAAAUUGCUAGGAAAACUGAUAGAAUUGAGUUAAAGAGGGGAGAGUGGAAUUCCUGGUGGAGCGGUGAAAUGUGUAGAUAUCAGGAAGAAUACCAAUGGCGAAGGCAACUCUCUGGCUUUAAACUGACGCUGAUUCUCGAAAGCGUGGGUAUCGAACGGGAUUAGAGACCCCGGUAGUCCACGCCCUAAACGAUGAAUACUAGAUAUCGGCGGUAACCAAUCCGUCGGUGUCACAGCUAACGCGUUAAGUAUUCCGCCUGGGGACUACGGCCGCAAGGCUAAAACUCAAAGGAAUUGACGGGGGCCCGCACAAGCGGUGGAGUAUGUGGUUUAAUUCGAUGCAACGCGAAGAACCUUACCUGGGUUGGAAACCCCUGGAAUCCUGCAGAGAUGCGGGAGUGCUCUUUUAGAGAAUCAGGUGUCCAGGUGCUGCAUGGUUGUCGUCAGCUCGUGUCGUGAGAUGUUGGGUUAAGUCCCGCAACGAGCGCAACCCCUGUUGUUAGUUGCCAGCGAUUCGGUCGGGCACUCUAACGAGACUGCCGGUGGUAAGCCGGAGGAAGGUGGGGAUGACGUCAAAUCCUCAUGGCCCUUAUGCCCAGGGCUACACACGUACUACAAUGGUCGGUACAAAGGGCUGCGACCCCGCGAGGGUGAGCCAAUCCCAAAAAGCCGACCUCAGUUCGGAUUGUAGUCUGCAACUCGACUACAUGAAGUUGGAAUCGCUAGUAAUCGCGGAUCAGCAUGCCGCGGUGAAUACGUUCCCGGGCCUUGUACACACCGCCCG